UGGAGGGGGGCGGCUAAUUAAAAUGCUCGGCGGCCUGCGCCCGGUGGGCAGCCGACCCGGUUAUAAAGUCCGCGGUGGGGUGUGCAGCCGGCGCAGUCGCCCCCUCCUCUCGCCCCGGCGGCAGAUCAGAUGCCGGUGUGAUCGACUUCCCCUCUCAUCCUGGCUGCCAGCGGGAAAGCGCACAGACUAAAUCAGUUCAGGGGAAGGCAAGAGCGCGGUUUAUCCGUCCCCAGCCACUGCCAUGAGUAGGGUGAGAACCAAUAACAUCUACUGAAAGGUGCUGUGGCGGGGGGGAGAAGGAGCAGCGACUCAUUGUUGUCAUCAUCAACGGCACAGCCGGCUCCCGGAGGUGCCCGGCCUCCCUCCCGCAAACGCCCCCGCAGCGAGGGGAACAGCGCGGAGAGUGAGGGCUCAGCCCCCGAGUGGGCUCGACUCCAGAGGGGCUCUUUCCCCGCUCUUCACGCCAGCCACGUUGCUUUCCUCACGACCCCAACGCCUCGGCUGUUUCCCUGCACUCCUCAGUGCGGGAGCAAGGCGCGAUGGAGAGGGGACCGCGACGGUCCAGUGUCGUGACAGAGCCUCGUGAAGCACUCAAGGCGCGCACAUGGGUAAGCCCCCGGCUGGCAGUUCCUGCAGAGAAGAAUUACUCCCACCACAAACUUUCUGCCCGUGGGUACCGCCGCGCCAAGGCUGCUGCUGCUUGAACCCCCUGCAGCUCUGGGUCUGUGCGCAAGCCAAUGGCACCGCAAGGAGCAGGCAGCCCGGGCAGCUCUUCCACAGAAACUGCGUGGGGAAGGGCUCUACACCAUGGCCACGCGUAGCGGCAUGGUCUCCGGGGAGGUUCCUAGGGUGAGUGGUCACCAUUUGCCCUGCAGUUCUUCGAGGGUAGCAGAACCACCAACUGGCAGGUCCACACAGAGUCGCGCACAGGUGAACUGAUCUUAAAAGCAGGCACUUGCACAACUUUCAGCAGAGAAGAUGCCUCAGCUCAUGGACUGCUGUCCUCCAAAAAUGACGCCAUUUGCAAACCCAUUACUUAAUCUGCGCAUGUUUCUGAUUACGUUCGCCAAAUAGUGAAAACGCUAAUAGAAUUUACUGGUCAUUAAUUAAAGUACACGAAUCUUUCACAGGCUGAAACCUAUAAAUGUCUCGAGUAUAUUUUUCUCGUUGCAAAUGAAACACUGUAUUUUAAAGUCUCGUUUCCAAAAUUCUUCCCCCCCUCACCUCACGCUUGUGGUAACCACUGGCUACUAAAACACACACCCACCCCGCUAUUUCAGCGAUGCUCGCGGUCAGAGAAAGUUUGCCUUUCUCUAGUAAUCCGUUGUCAAGAGGUUUGCACAAAGUGAUGGAGACUCUUAUCAAUUCCGCUUGGAGCAAGAUUGGACUCGGGUUAGGAGCCACCGGAGGGUCCCAGGUCUCUCCCCGGUUUGAGGCAGCCACAGCGAGGGGGAGGAGGCUGUUCUCCCCGCGGGGAGAUCCGCAGCCGCGGCGCGGAGCGGCUGCCUGCUUAGACCACUCACACAUAGGGUCUCUCGGAGAGCCUUCAAAUCCCCAAACACAAAGAGUGGGGGCUUUAUCGGAGUUUAGUUACUUAUCUGGAUUUUUGUUAAGCCACUACUGUGAUCUCCGCGAAGUUGUGCGAGUGUGUUAAUUGUUCUGAUAAUGUGUUGUUAUCGAUACAAUAACAAUACAAUCGUGUAUAAUGUGA